rnacentral:misc_RNA from 1 species
GAUGAAGAACGCAGCGAAAUGCGAUAAGUAGUGUGAAUUGCAGAAUUCAGUGAAUCUUCGAAUCUUUGAACGCACAUUGCGCCCUUUGGUAUUCCUUAGGGCAUGCCUGUUCGAGCGUCAUUUAAACCUUCAAGCUAAGCUUGGUGUUGGGUGACUGUCCGCUUCACGGCGGACUCGCCUCAAAAUUAUUGGCGGCCGGUACAUUGGCUUCGAGCGCAGCAGAAACGCGAACUCGGGCCCGUCGUAUUGGCUCCCAGAAGCUAUCUUCACAAUUUUGACCUCGGAUCAGGUAGGGAUACCCGCUGAACUUAAGCAUAUCAAUAAGCGGAGGA